UGAUUGGUCACGAGUUUGUGGGAGGAGCUGUUCAGAGAGGAGAGACGGAUAUGAAUCACGUUUGUAGCAUUACCUCUGUUUGCCAGUAACUGGUAGGUCCGGAUGCCUGAAUUUUCUGUCGAACACCGGUGAGAUGCUAAACCAAACUCUGGAGCUGUUUUUGUCGAACACGGGUCAGAUGGUAAAACAAACUUUGGAGCUGUUCUGCGGCGGCGGCGAGAAUUCACAUACUGGCGACGCAAAAUAUCCGGCUGGAUUGCAGCGAACCCCAGCCAAGGUGCGUCAAGUUGGAGAGAGUGACGAGACGAAUUCCGUUUUGACGGCGUUUCAAAAUAAGAGGCAGAAAGUGUAUGUCGUCAUUGGUCACGUGCUUGUGGGAGGAGCUGUUCUGCGGCAUCGGGGAGGUUUACUGGUUCAGCUGCUGCAGCCUGGACACAAACACCAGCUCCCACCUUAAAAAGCAAACAGAGGCCUGGACUACGAAGGGAGUUUAAGCCACUCUGAUUUAACUCGGGUUAUCAAGGAACGUCGGGGUUGACAGACGUCGGCUGCCUCGAUCUGCGUUAACUACAGCGACGAUGAAGAUGUCGGUGUCUCCACUUCACGUCCAUGAUCAGAGCGUCUUUGGAUGAUGAAGGAAUUGUUUAGACCAGGACAGAGGCCUCCAGAAUUCAAAGUUCAAGCAUUAAAUGACAGAGAGAAGAGACAGACAUGAAGAUGUUUCCAGAAGAAUCACUUCUGUGUCCGACCCUCCUCCCACUGAAAUCAACACGACUCUACUCUACUGUGACAUUGAGUAUUUUUAACUGUUUAUGAUUGUUUGUUAUGCUUUACUGUAUUAUGACAUUUUUGAAUGUUGUUCAUGCCUUGACAGUUUUCCAUGUUUUACUGUUUGCCUUGUUGUACUGACAUUUGUUCACUGUUUUGUAUGUCUUUUUAUUGUGUGACAAUAAAUUGUGUGUGUGUAUUGUGUUUCUUGUUAGGAAGAGAUAGCAGAGGAAUGAGAGUAAAGGGCUGGGACACACUUUGGCCCAGCCCUUUACUCAGAUAGGACAGUGUAGAUGAGCAUGGGAAUAACAUGCAAUAAACACUUAGCUGGGGCACAUGAGCCUAUAUGGGCGCCCCAUUUUUUUUAAUUUUUUUUUUCCCAUUGACAUUUUUCUAAUUUUUCCAUUCAAAUUUUUGACAU